UGGGGAAUAUUGCACAAUGGGCGCAAGCCUGAUGCAGCCAUGCCGCGUGUGUGAAGAAGGCCUUCGGGUUGUAAAGCACUUUCAGCGAGGAGGAAGGUGGUGAGCUUAAUACGCUCAUCAAUUGACGUUACUCGCAGAAGAAGCACCGGCUAACUCCGUGCCAGCAGCCGCGGUAAUACGGAGGGUGCAAGCGUUAAUCGGAAUUACUGGGCGUAAAGCGCACGCAGGCGGUUUGUUAAGUCAGAUGUGAAAUCCCCGGGCUCAACCUGGGAACUGCAUUUGAAACUGGCAAGCUAGAGUCUCGUAGAGGGGGGUAGAAUUCCAGGUGUAGCGGUGAAAUGCGUAGAGAUCUGGAGGAAUACCGGUGGCGAAGGCGGCCCCCUGGACGAAGACUGACGCUCAGGUGCGAAAAGCGUGGGGAGCAAAACAGGAUUAGAUACCCUGGUAGUCCAGCGCUGUAAACGAUGUCGAUUUUGGAGGUUGUGCCCUUGAGGCGUGGCUUCCGGAGCUAACGCGUUAAAUCGACCGCCUGGGGAGUACGGCCGCAAGGUUAAAACUCAAAGU
rnacentral:rRNA from 1 species